UUCCCCCACCACCCUUCGGCGAGGAGUAAGUGCCACCGCUCCGCCUUCUCCUUUUCGCAAUGUUGACGCAAUCUAUAAAUAGUGGAACAAAAGGACCAACUUCCUCGCAGCUUUGCUGAAACUGCACAAAAAAGGCAACCGGGGGGGUGGGGGGACACACACGCGGUUAUUUUUUGAUUUUAUUUUUCUCCGGUUAAAAGGCGAAUCCUCCUCCCUUCCUCCCUCUCUCCCCUUCCCCCCCGCCCCCCCUCGCUACUGGAAGAUCUUUUUUAUUUUCCCUUGCUGCCUCCUAUGCUGGCAACGUCCUGCAAGUGGCUAUUUUGCUUUUGCACCGAGAGAAGAGCUUCCCCCCUCGCCCUCUCUUCUGACACUUAUGGAUGAAAUCCACACUGAUGUCUAACCUGUAAUGAGUCCCAAUGUUUUGACCUUUCAAUAGAGAGCUGAUUUUGGAGAACGGCUUACUCCUGUGAUUGAAAAACUCUCUGGAAGGUUGAUGGAGCAUGAGCAUGAUAGCCCUCACAAUUUCCAGAAGCUGUCUGUCAUGACCUGACUAGAAGGCUUAUUGCAAUGGAGUACCAUGCUUGGGUCCAUGCUGUGAGAAUCUUUCAUUGAGAUGAUUGAAAUUGCUGCAGUGAGAGUGGAAAUUACUUGGGCUCCUUUCCUUUUAAAAGCUGCAUGCAAGAACUGUGUGAACCGAAGAACAUCUUAAUGCCACCAGAGUGGGAGGACAGGACAGAGGAGUGUUCUGCAAGAGACAGUUACAUGUUAUUUCACAGACCUCAGCGACAGCUUUCACAAAGCCACACAGCAGCAUAGCUCAGGAUGUUCUCCUUACACUGCUCUCAGCUAGCUGCAAGAGUCAGUGAGUGGAAGCAAUAAUCAAUUGUUGGGGUCUGCAUUCCUCCUCCAGCCACUUCUCCAAACUGUUGGGAUGACAGUUGAAUCAAGAUGUUAUUUCUUCAUGUAUUACCAUGUUUUUAAAAUCUAUUUGCAGAUUAGCACAGAACAUAAAAACAAUUUUCUAGAAGGGAUGGCUGAUGUAUUGUGAGUCCUCAUGUAAAUUUUAGCCACCAUGAAAAAACAAAAACAAUUCUUGGAAAUGCUGAAAUCUGGUGGUCUUCUUUUACUUAAAGAGGGCAGAGUGGCAGAAGGCAAGAAAGUAAUUUUUUUCCCUAAAUACUUGAAAGAAAACAUGUUUGUUACUUCCCUCAAUAGCCGCACUUUCAAACAAGCCAAAACAAACAAAAAAAGGCCACUAGUGCUGACACAUCCCUCUUCUACAUUCAAAAGAUGGAAGGAAAAGCCUUUAUU